rnacentral:rRNA from 1 species
UACGAAGGGGGCUAGCGUUGUUCGGAAUUACUGGGCGUAAAGCGCACGUAGGCGGACAUUUAAGUCAGGGGUGAAAUCCCGGGGCUCAACCCCGGAACGGCCUUUGAUACUGGGUGUCUUGAGUUCGGAAGAGGUGAGUGGAAUUGCGAGUGUAGAGGUGAAAUUCGUAGAUAUUCGCAGGAACACCAGUGGCGAAGGCGGCUCACUGGUCCGAUACUGACGCUGAGAUGCGAAAGCGUGGGGAGCAAACAGG